AUACGUAGGUGGCAAGCGUUAUCCGGAAUUAUUGGGCGUAAAGAGGGAGCAGGCGGCAGCAAGGGUCUGUGGUGAAAGCCUGAAGCUUAACUUCAGUAAGCCAUAGAAACCAGGCAGCUAGAGUGCAGGAGAGGAUCGUGGAAUUCCAUGUGUAGCGGGGAAAUGCGUAGAUAUAUGGAGGAACACCAGUGGCGAAGGCGACGAUCUGGCCUGCAACUGACGCUCAGUCCCGAAAGCGUGGGGAGCAAAUAGGAUUAGAUACCCUAGUAGUCCACGCCGUAAACGAUGAGUACUAAGUGUUGGAUGUCAAAGUUCAGUGCUGCAGUUAACGCAAUAAGUACUCCGCCUGAGUAGUACGUUCGCAAGAAUGAAACUCAAAGGAAUUGACGGGG
rnacentral:rRNA from 1 species